GAAAACUCCGGUGGUAAAAGAUGGGCAUGCGUUGUAUUAGCUAGUUGGUGAGGUAACGGCUCACCAAGGCGACGAUACAUAGGGGGACUGAGAGGUUAACCCCCCACAUUGGUACUGAGACACGGACCAAACUCCUACGGGAGGCAGCAGUGAGGAAUAUUGGUCAAUGGACGCAAGUCUGAACCAGCCAUGCCGCGUGCAGGAAGACGGCUCUAUGAGUUGUAAACUGCUUUUGUACGAGGGUAAAUGCAGGUACGUGUAUCUGUUUGAAAGUAUCGUACGAAUAAGGAUCGGCUAACUCCGUGCCAGCAGCCGCGGUAAUACGGAGGAUCCAAGCGUUAUCCGGAUUUAUUGGGUUUAAAGGGUGCGUAGGCGGUUUUAUAAGUUAGAGGUGAGAUCUCGGGGCUCAACUCCGAAAUUGCCUCUAAUACUGUAGGACUAGAGAGUAGUUGCGGUAGGCGGAAUGUAUGGUGUAGCGGUGAAAUGCUUAGAGAUCAUACAGAACACCGAUUGCGAAGGCAGCUUACCAAACUAUAUCUGACGUUGAGGCACGAAAGCGUGGGGAGCAAACAGGAUUAGAUACCCUGGUAGUCCACGCAGUAAACGAUGAUAACUCGUUGUCGGCGAUACACAGUCG
rnacentral:rRNA from 1 species